AUGAUGGUUUGAGGGCUUUACGUGAAGUAAUAAAAUCGUUUUUGUGAUAUUGAAUUUCAACCACCUUGGAAAAGACUACGUUUCCUCUUGAUAUGAGAAUCAAGAUGACCAAGAUGUCCUUCAGUAUUGAAUAUCUCCCGUUUAUUUUGUUUUGUUUUUUUUUUUGUAAACACGGGGAGGCAGGGUUUUUUCUUCUGAGGUUUUUCCCUGAGCUCUUGAAUCAUAUGAAUAAUCAUAUGGUUCCCCUUUGCACUAACCUCAGCUAAAUUUAAUAGUGAAAUUAAUAAAAAAGCAUAUUAAUCACA